GCCAUAGCUCAGUGGUAGAGCAUCUGCUUUGCAUGCAGAAGGUCCCAGGUUCAAUCCCUGGUAUCUCCA